GAUGAACGCUGGCGGCGUGCCUAAUACAUGCAAGUCGAGCGAACAGACGAUGAGCUUGCUCCUCUGACGUUAGCGGCGGACGUGUGUGUAACACGUGUAUCCUCUCCCUAUAAUUCUGAUAUAAUUUCGGGAAACCGGCUCUAACACCGGAUAAUAUAUUGCACCGUAUGGUUCGAUAGUGAGAGACGGCGUUUCUGUCUCUAAUAGAUGGUUCCGCGCCGCAUUAGCUAGUUGGUAAGGUAACGGCUUACCACGGCAACGAUGCGUAGCCGAACUGAGAGAGUGAUCGGCCACACUGGAACGGAGACACGGUCCAGACGACUACGGGAGGCAGCAGUAGGGAAUCUUCCGCAGUGGGCGAAAGCCUGGCGGAGCGACGCCGCGUGAGAUAUGAAGGUCUUCGGAUCGUAAAGCUGUGUUAUGAGGGAAGAACAAAUGUGUAAGUAACUAUGCACGUAUUGACGGUAACUAAUCAGAAAGCCACGGCUAACUACGUG
rnacentral:rRNA from 1 species